rnacentral:rRNA from 1 species
UACGAAGGGGGCUAGCGUUGCUCGGAAUCACUGGGCGUAAAGCGCACGUAGGCGGCUUUAUAAGUCGGGGGUGAAAGCCUGUGGCUCAACCACAGAAUUGCCUUCGAUACUGUAGAGCUUGAGACCGGAAGAGGUAAGUGGAACUGCGAGUGUAGAGGUGAAAUUCGUAGAUAUCGAGAGGAACACCGGUGGCGAAGGCGGCUACCUGGACGGUGACUGACGCUGAGACGCGAAAGCGUGGGGAGCAAACAGG